AGACGUGUUUUCUUAGGAAAAAUGGCUACCUCAUAGACGAAAGAACAAAAGUGCGUUUUGAUAGAAGCAGUGAAAGAAGAGCAGUGUCUUAUAACAACACUGUCUUACUGAAACGCUGUCUCGUGUUUUUUGUAAAGUGAAGCGUGUUAGGCCUCAGCUGAGUAACCCUAAGGAUUGCCAAACGAAGUCCUAUAACAUGAGGAACAUGUAAAUUGUUGAGAAUAGAAAAAGGAAAGAGAGUAUGAGAAGUGGAGUUGGAACAGAUGAUGUGAAAUGCCGGCUUUGUGUUACAUAGCGUGGCAACAGCAUUAUCGUAGUCAUCCUUACCAUCAACUGAACACAAUUAUAAUUUUCAGAUGGAUGAAAGCUCAGUCGAGAAUAAUGCUGUGCGAGCUUCCACACAAGAUGUGAUGGUGGAAAAUGAUGUAGACUUUAGUGAAGAAACUGAAGUAGUAGUUGGAGUACCUUCGCCAGUAACUGCACUGAGUAUAGGACAGAGUGGUGUAGCAAGGAAUUAUACAUCGAAAAGAAAGAAUCACAUUGAGGAAGGGAGCUAUUCAAGCGCUCUUCAAUUAAUAGCUGAAAGAUUAUAGCUAAUAGUGAUGAUGAUGUUAACACAUUUGUGAAAUAUUUGGCCACUGAUAUGAAGACCAUUAGAAGCUACAAAACAAGAAUGUUAGUUAAACAACAAAUUCUCCAAUCACAUUAAAUUCCAUCAGUAUGAAGAAUUAUGGAGAGGACACAGCUGCGAAGAAAAAUGAUUCUUCCACAGCAGCUGGCAGUAAUGUCUGCAAUAAGUUGGAGCAUAGAGAAGAGGAAGACUUCCAGACAUCCUGAGAAGUUGGAGAGGAACUUUGGGCACGAGUACACUACAAGAGAGGACAUAAGAGUUCCAGCUAAACGCCUCCUGGCUAAGGCCAUAUGCUGCAAGUCGCAAUGCCACAGACAGUUUGAAGAAAAAGAGAGGGAAAACACAUUUCAUACGUCUGGAAACUUAGUGAUUUUUGGUCCAAUUUUGAGGUCAAGGAAAAGAGUUGAUGCUGGAAAUCAUGAAGGCAAAAGCUUCAAAUAUUUCUUAAGGACUGAAGUGAGACCUAUAAGGAUAUGUAACGUCUACACAUAAUAGUGUUAUAUGCAGACUCUUGUACUGGCAAAACCAAAAGCAGUAAAUAUUCUUACUUACCUAA